UACGUAGGCAGCGAGCGUUGUUCGGAGUUACUGGGCGUAAAGGGUGUGUAGGCGGUUUUCUAAGUUUGGUGUGAAAUCUCCCGGCUCAACCGGGAGGGUGCGCCGAAAACUGGGAGACUAGAGUGCGGGAUGGGAGAGUAGAAUUCCUGGUGUAGCGGUGAAAUGCGUAGAUAUCAGGAGGAGUACCGGUGGUGUAGACGGCUCUCUGGACCGCCACUGACGCUGAGACACGAAAGCGUGGGUAGCAAACAGG
rnacentral:rRNA from 1 species